rnacentral:rRNA from 1 species
CGUGAGGGAGCAGGCUCUUGGGUUGUAAACCUCUUUUCUUGGGGAAGAAAAAAUGACGGUACCCAAGGAAUCAGCAUCGGCUAACUCCGUGCCAGCAGCCGCGGUAAUACGGAGGAUGCAAGCGUUAUCCGGAAUUAUUGGGCGUAAAGCGUCCGCAGGUGGCACUUCAAGUCUGCUGUCAAAGACCGGGGCUUAACCCUGGAGAGGCAGUGGAAACUGAAGCGCUAGAGUGUCGUAGGGGUAGAGGGAAUUCCUGGUGUAGCGGUGAAAUGCGUAGAGAUCAGGAAGAACAUCGGUGGCGAAAGCGCUCUACUGGACGACAACUGACACUCAGGGACGAAAGCUAGGGGAGCGAAUGGGAUUAGAUCCCCCCCGAAAACGAUGGAUACUAGGUGUGGCUUGUAUCGCCCGAGCCGUGCCGUAGCUAACGCGUUAAGUAUCCCGCCUGGGGAGUACGCGCGCAAGCGUGAAACUCAAAGGAAUUGACGGGGCCCGCACAAGCGGUGGAGUAUGUGGUUUAA